UCCUUCCCAGGCCCCCUCCCCCUGCUUCCUGUGAGGUGAGAGGACAGCUGAGAGGAGCGCGAGGACUGAGGGGUGAUGAACUUGAGGCACUCCCCUCCACUCCACCACGCCCCCACUACACUGCAGGGUAAUUUUACUGCGUCCAAGGCUGCUGACCUUUUCACCUCUGUCACUUCAUAAUCGUCCUAUCAGAAAAUCGAUUAGUAAAUAAUAACAGAAUCUUCUGCCACAUUGGGCAUCUGCUGUUUAGCGAGGAAGUUUUCUUCUUCUUUUCGCUCCUUUUUUUCAUUGAAAGAUGAGUGCCACCAAGUGGUUAAGACAUGAGGGGUUUUUAAGCCAUCUCCUGAAUAAGAUGUUACUAUUUCUGACGGUAGAAACUAGAAAGGUUGAUCCAA